rnacentral:rRNA from 1 species
GUCCACAGCCAUACCACCCUGAACUCGCCCAAUCUUGUCUGAUCUCAGAAGCUAAGCAGGGUCGGGCCUGGUUAGUACUUGGAUGGGAAAAAUACCUUUUAUUCUUUUUU